UGACAGACCCUAAUAUCUGGAAUUUGCUGUGUUGAGGUGGGUAGCCUGUGAGACAGCCCCAGGCAGAGGUCCAUGACAGGGUGGACAUUCAGCACCAGAAGUCAGGAAGGACACCUGCCCGGAGGAGGGAGAGCUGCGAGUCAUCAGCUUUUGCGUGGCUGAGGACACUAAGUGUAUUAGUCAGGGUUCUCUAGAUGGGACAGGACUAACAUGACGAGGAGUUUAUUAAGGAGUAUUGACUCACACCAUCACAAGG
rnacentral:lncRNA from 10 species